UCUCUCAUCCGCUCUCGUGUGUUAGACAGGCCACACAGAGUUAUAGCAUCACGGCCGCCAUUUUUUGAGUUCUCUCACUCAGUCCCAAGCCACACCUCCCCCUCCGCCAAAGUUGGUCCACUCCAACUCUACCCUUCCCCAACUACAGCGCCCCCCACUGGACCACUCCAACCUUACCCUUCCCCAACUAGACUGCCCCCUGCUGGACCACUCCAACCUUACCCUUCCCCAACUAGACUGCCCCCUGCUGGACCACUCCAACUCUACCCUUCCCCAACUACAGCGCCCCCCACUGGACCACUCCAACUCUACCCUUCCCCAACUACAGCGCCCCCUGCUGGACCACUCCAACCUUACCCUUCCCCAACUAGACUGCCCCCUGCUGGACCACUCCAACCUUACCCUUCCCCAAAUAGACCUGGCCUACUGGACCACUCCAACCUUACCCUUCCCCAACUAGACUGCCCCCCACUGGACAACUCCAACCUUACCCUUCCCCAACCACAGCGCCCCCCACUGGACAACUCCAACCUUACCCUUCCCCAACCACCGCGCCCCCCACUGGACAACUCCAACUCUACCCUUCACCAACUACCGCGCCCCCCACUGGACAACUCCAACUCUACCCUUCACCAACUACCGCGCCCCCCACUGGACAACUCCAACCUUACCCUUCCCCAACUACAGCGCCCCCCACUGGACCUCUCCAACCUUACCCUUCCCCAACUAGACUGCCCCCUGCUGGACCACUCCAACUCUACCCUUCCCCAACUAGACUGCCCCCUGCUGGACCACUCCAACUCUACCCUUCCCCAACUACAGCGCCCCCUGCUGGACCACUCCAACCUUACCCUUCCCCAACUAGACUGCCCCCUACUGGACCACUCCAACCUUACCCUUCCCCAACUAGACUGCCCCCUGCUGGACCACUCCAACCUUACCCUUCCCCAACUAGACUGCCCCCUGCUGGACCACUCCAACCUUACCCUUCCCCAACUAGACUGCCCCCUGCUGGACCACUCCAACCUUACCCUUCCCCAACUAGACUGCCCCCUACUGGACCACUCCAACCUUACCCUUCCCCAACUAGACUGCCCCCUGCUGGACCACUCCAACCUUACCCUUCCCCAACUAGACUGCCCCCUGCUGGACCACUCCAACCUUACCCUUCCCCAACUAGACUGCCCCCUGCUGGACCACUCCAACCUUACCCUUCCCCAACUAGACUGCCCCCUGCUGGACCACUCCAACCUUACCCUUCCCCAACUAGACUGCCCCCUGCUGGACCACUCCAACCUUACCCUUCCCCAACUAGACUGCCCCCUGCUGGACCACACCAACCUUACCCUUCCCCAACUACAGCGCCCCCUGCUGGACAACUCCAACCUUACCCUUCCCCAACUACACCGCCCCCUACUGGACAGCAUCAAUACCAAUCCAACCCCGACUCUCGAUCACCCCCUGCUAGAAGAAUUAUCCCAGUUACUAAUAAAGCUAAAAAGACAAACCUCCCCGCACCCGGCCUUCAGUGCACGGGCGUCCACAACCCCGACCACCCCCAUUUGUCGACCUACACCAUUAAGGCAGUACAGAGAGACACACUAA
ensembl:lncRNA